UACGUAGGGGGCAAGCGUUGUCCGGAAUCAUUGGGCGUAAAGCGCGCGUAGGCGGCCCGGUAAGUCCGUUGUGAAAGUCAAAGGCUCAACCUUUGAACGCCGAUGGAUACUGCCGGGCUAGAGUCCGGAAGAGGCGAGUUGAAUUCCUGGUGUAGCGGUGGAAUGCGCAGAUAUCAGGAGGAAUACCCAUAGCGAAGGCAGCUCGCUGGGACGUUACUGACGCUGAGGCGCGAAAGCGUGGGGAGCGAACAGG
rnacentral:rRNA from 1 species